AUUGAACGCUGGCGGCAUGCCUAACACAUGCAAGUCGAGCGGAUGAAGGGAGCUUUCUCCUGGAUUCAGCGGCGGACGGGUGAGUAAUGCCUAUGAAUCUGCCUCGUAGUGGGGUAUAACGUCCGGAAACGGGCGCUAAUACCGCAUACGUCCUGCGGGAGCAGGUGGGGGGUCUUCGGACCUCACGCUCUCAGAUGAGCCUAGGUCGGAUUAGCUAGUUGGUGGGGUAAAGGCCUACCAAGCCGACGAUCCGUAACUGGUCUGAGAGGAUGAUCAGUCACACUGGAACUGGGACACGGUCAAGAGUCCUACGGGAGGCAGCAGUGGGGAAUAUUGGACAAUGGGCGAAAGCCUGAUCCAGCCAGGCCGCGUGUGUGAAGAAGGUCUUCGGAGUGUAAAGCACGUUAAGGUGGGAGGAAGGGCAGUAAGUUAAUACCUUGCUGUUUUGACGGUAACAACAGAAUAAGCACCGGCUAACUUCGUG
rnacentral:rRNA from 1 species